AGAGAGUGGACCAUACUGGCCUGAAACAGCAUAAAAGAAAGGUUCAAUUUACUGAAAUGUCAUUAACAACAUCCUCCGUGGAGAACUAACUACUUUCUCUCUUAUCCCUUCUGUCACUUUAACAGAAUACACUUAAGACAAACACAAAGUAUCAAAAUCGCCAAGACUCGAAGCUUCCCAGCCUUAUUAACACAAGUGAUGGAAUACUCUCGCCUAACAGUUUGUGGUCCAGGACUUCCUAUUGAUCCAACCCAUCAGCAAUUUCCAUCAGACCCAUCGCCAUUCCUCAGACAAGCCUUAAAUGCACUCGCUUCUCCCCCUUCACACAGCUGCUACCCCGGACUGGCUACCAUCAACUCGGGUUUGAACUCCCUUAAAUAGACAAAGUUUCUUGGAAGAAGCAGAGACCAGCCAAACUGCCUGGAAGAAUCAAAAGACCAGC